GUGGGGAUUAGAUGGGAAGGAUGGACGAGAAUAAAAGGAUGGUGAAUUUUUUUUCUUUUAGUUAAUUUUUUUGUAUUUUUGUUAGGUGUACUUAUACUAUAUAAAAAUGAGUUGUGGUCAAAGAGGGACUUUGAAUUUCAACUGCAUGGAUAGGGGCAUUUUUGAAAUGUGGAAUGAUGUGGAGUUCAUUUUUAACUUUGGGUACAAGUGACAGCAACAUGCGUUUUGGUAUGUUUACAAAAAUCUCCUCAUGUUUGUACAUUCAAAGUGUUUAUUUAUGGAGACAUUUGGGUAUUUUUGGAAUGUAGGAUUAUUUUAUAAUCAUUUUGUAUCAGGUACAAGUCAUACAAGCUUAUGUAUUGGUAUAAUUACUUAAAUGGUGUUGUAAACACAUUGACUUGAAGUGUGGUAUUUAUUAUGCCAUUGAAAUGAAGACAUUUUGCUGUAA
rnacentral:lncRNA from 1 species